AGCAGUAGCCGCGGUAAUACAGAGGGUGCGAGCGUUAAUCGGAUUUACUGGGCGUAAAGCGUGCGUAGGCGGCUUUUUAAGUCGGAUGUGAAAUCCCUGAGCUUAACUUAGGAAUUGCAUUCGAUACUGGGAAGCUAGAGUAUGGGAGAGGAUGGUAGAAUUCCAGGUGUAGCGGUGAAAUGCGUAGAGAUCUGGAGGAAUACCGAUGGCGAAGGCAGCCAUCUGGCCUAAUACUGACGCUGAGGUACGAAAGCAUGGGGAGCAAACAGGAUUAGAUACCCCCGUAGUCACUGUCUCUUAUAC
rnacentral:rRNA from 1 species